rnacentral:lncRNA from 1 species
GAGGAUAAGUGAACAUGGAAAUGGUGGUGGUGAUAAUGGAAGUGAUAAUAGGAGGGAGAGGAGGGGAACAACUGAACGUGAAAGUGAUGAUGAUGGUGGUGGAGGUGAUAAUGGAAGAGUUGAUAGAAGGGAGAGAAGGAGGAUAAGUGAACAUGGAAAUGGUGGUGGUGGUGGUGAUAAUGGAAGGGAUAAUAGGAGGGAGAGGAGGGGAACAACUGAACGUGAAAGUGAUGAUGAUGGUGAUGAUGGAAGGGUGGAUAGGAGGGCGAGGAGAAAAACAACUGAACGCGGAAGUGGUGGUGAUGAUGGAAGGGGGAGGAGGAGAACUGGAGACGGAAGUGAGGAGGAGGAGGAGGAUGGUGGUGGUGAUGAUGGAAGGGAUGAUAGGAGGCGAAAAAAUGAGCGUGGAAGUAGGGAUGA